rnacentral:tRNA from 1 species
GUGGGUAGAGCUCAGUGGCAGAGCACAUGCUUAGCACGCUUGAGGUCCUGGGUUCAGUCCCUAGUACCUCCA